UAAGCAUAUCAAUAAGCGGAGGAAAAGAAACCAACAGGGAUUGCCCUAGUAACGGCGAGUGAAGCGGCAACAGCUCAAAUUUGAAAUCUGGCUUCGGCCCGAGUUGUAAUUUGUAGAGGAAGCUUUAGGCGCGGCACCUUCUGAGUCCCCUGGAACGGGGCGCCAUAGAGGGUGAGAGCCCCGUAUAGUUGGAUGCCUAGCCUGUGUAAAGCUCCUUCGACGAGUCGAGUAGUUUGGGAAUGCUGCUCAAAAUGGGAGGUAAAUUUCUUCUAAAGCUAAAUACCGGCCAGAGACCGAUAGCGCACAAGUAGAGUGAUCGAAAGAUGAAAAGCACUUUGAAAAGAGGGUUAAAUAGCACGUGAAAUUGUUGAAAGGGAAGCGCUUGUGACCAGACUUGCGCCGGGCGGAUCAUCCGGUGUUCUCACCGGUGCACUCCGCCCGGCUCAGGCCAGCAUCGGUUCUCGCGGGGGGAUAAAGGUCCUGGGAACGUAGCUCCUCCGGGAGUGUUAUAGCCCAGGGCGUAAUGCCCUCGCGGGGACCGAGGUUCGCGCAUCUGCAAGGAUGCUGGCGUAAUGGUCAUCAGCGACCCGUCUUGAAACACGGACCAAGGAGUCAAGGUUUUGCGCGAGUGUUUGGGUGUAAAACCCGCACGCGUAAUGAAAGUGAACGUAGGUGAGAGCUUCGGCGCAUCAUCGACCGAUCCUGAUGUAUUCGGAUGGAUUUGAGUAAGAGCGUUAAGCCUUGGACCCGAAAGAUGGUGAACUAUGCUUGGAUAGGGUGAAGCCAGAGGAAACUCUGGUGGAGGCUCGCAGCGGUUCUGACGUGCAAAUCGAUCGUCAAAUCUGAGCAUGGGGGCGAAAGACUAAUCGAACCAUCUAGUAGCUGGUUACCGCC
rnacentral:rRNA from 2 species